CACAACUCAAGUUUCCUCCGGAUUUAAAUACAGGUAGCUAUGCACGUCGUUGAAAACUUACCGUGUGGAAACACCCUCAAAUAUUAAGGUUUGACUCAACCAGAUAGUUGAAUAACAGUCAUUUUAUUUGAAAAAUGUCGGAUGCCUUGUUGCAGUGGUGUGUGGACCAGUUGCACCAUAAAUUUGGUUUGGAUGCCAGCGAGGAUAUCGUCCAGUACAUUCUGUCCAUUGAGAAAGCUGAGGAGAUAGAAGAAUAUGUGGGAGACCUCCUGCAAGGCACGGAUGGGAGAAAGAAACAGUUUAUUGAUGAGCUCCUCAGCAGAUGGAUGAGGUCUAAAAGACAAAGCUCAGACACCUCAAGUCUUUUUCUUCUCAAAGAAUCAGCGUCACCAGAAAUGCAAGAUGGGGGGAAAGACACACAAAAAAAGUCCAAACGCAAAGGACGUAACAAAAUGGAAGUGAUGAGUGCACCCAUAAAGGAACCUGAGCCUGAGGCAGUGAAGACGCCCAUCGAUCUGAUGCGGGCUCAGGAAAACAACAGUUCUUCUUCAGGAAAGAAGAAAUCCAAGUUUGUCAACCUCUAUGCCAAAGAGGGUCAGGACAAGUUGGCUGUUCUACUCCCAGGCCGUCAUCCCUGUGACUGCCUUGCUCAAAAGCACAAACUCGUCAACAACUGUCUGAGCUGUGGGCGUAUUGUGUGCGACCAGGAGGGUUCCGGACCAUGCCUCUUCUGCGGAAGUUUGGUUUGCACAGCAGAGGAGCAGGAGAUUUUACAGCGAGACUCUAACAAAAGCCAAAAACUCAGAAAAAAACUCAUGGGAGAUUGUACAGAAAGAGAGCUUCUGCCGCAUCAAGAUGCCAAGAUGAAGGAUGGCUUGGAGAAAGCAAUUCAGCACAAAGACAAAUUGCUGGAAUUUGACAGAAAUAGCGUGAGGAGAACCCAAGUUCUGGACGAUGAAUCUGAUUACUUUGCCACCGAAUCCAAUCAGUGGCUGUCCCCCGGUGAGAGGGAGAAGCUGAGGAGGAAGGAGGAGGAGCUGAGGGAGCUUCGCCACGCAUCUCGCAAAGACAGGAAGAUCACGCUGGACUUUGCCGGGAGACAAGUGGUUGAUGAGGGCAACAAUAUGGAUGCGUAUUACAAAAAAUUGGAUGAGACUCUCUGUGCCAUGAAUAAUGAGGCCCAAUCACAGGAGUCCUCCAGCAGAAGUGGAAGGAAGAACGUCAGCGGGCUGAUCAACCCACAAUUUAAACAGGCUGCUCCACAGUGGGUGGAUGUUGGAGGAGGUGAAAACCUCAGCAGCUCCGUGAAGCAGCGAGCGAGUGCAGAUGAGCAGAAGGGGACCGAGCGCCACAGGCUGCGGCUCCAAGACAAAGAGCUGCAGGAGAUCUCCGACGGAGGCUGGUGCCUCAGCAUGCAUCAGCCGUGGGCCUCGCUGCUGGUCAGGGGCAUCAAGAAGGUCGAAGGAAGGACCUGGUACACUUCACACCGAGGUCGACUGUGGAUUGCAGCCGCUGCCAAAAAACCAACACCCCAAGAGAUCGCUGAAGUGGAGGAAAUGUACAGACGUCUGUCUAAGAAAGAAGUCAAGUUUCCUAAAGACUAUCCCAGCGGCUGCCUGUUGGGCUGCGUGAACGUGACUGACUGCCUCUCCCAGCAGCAGUUUAGGGAACAGUUCCCCGAAUCCUGCGAGGAGUCGUCGUCUCCAUUCGUCUUCAUCUGCACUAAUCCCCAGGAGCUGCUGGUGAAAUUCCCCAUGAAAGGAAAACACAAGAUCUCCUUAGUAAUUCCAGAACGCUUCGCUCUCAAGGGACAGCUUCACUCACAACAAUGGACUGUGCUCCAUAAAAAACUGAGCCGUCUGCCGCAGACAGAGAAAAACCACAUUCUCACUGCAGGAUGAGGUCCCAAACAAGCCAGGGCAAAACUGAAAAAUCCUGAAAAGAACUCGAUCGAGCUUGAAGGAUCAUCGGUGGAUCUUUAAGACACAAAUCGGGAGAGUUUUGUUUCUUUUAUACAAGAGGAAGCUGGAGAGUCACCACCACCAGGGUGCCAAGAAGGGGCUGGUUCCAUCAGCAGCAGACUGACGCUGGAGGAAAGGCUCCAGGGGAACACGGCAAAUUACCGUCUUUAAGCAGUUGGUGUCAGCGACCAGUCAGCUGGUCUGUUUUCCCUUUAACCGCUCUAAUAAACACAGAAGAAAUAUUACUUACAUUUGAAAAAAAAUCCAUUAUUCUUUGUUUCUCGAUUCUUUUUUGGAAAAAAUAAAGUUUCAAAAUAAACUAUUUUAAGCUGCGUUUUUAUUUUAAAAACGUAUUUGUGUUGCAUUGCGAGUAUUGAGACAAUCCAUGAUUUAUUCUUAGUGAAACAGCCAGAGGAGUUUUUUAUUCCACUCUCAUACAAAUCACAAGCUGACUUAACCUUCACACUUUUAAGGCCACAUUUGUACCGACAGCAGACUUUUGAUUAAAAACACAGCUUUGUCUGUUUCAAUGCAGCCCUUCCAUGACAACAGGAGGAGCAAUAAAGCUGGGGGGGCAGCAACAGGACAACAAAUGCUAAAAAUAGUCAACCCCGGUCGGUCCAGUCCAACAUCACCGAGCAACACUUUGCUGUUUUUCAAGCCCAGGACCAGGAAUGUUGGAACGUUUUCUAGUUUUAGCAAAAACUAAGGGAAGUGCACAUGAUGAAGUUUGUGCGAGUAAAAAAAACUUAAUGUUUAAUGUUCAAGUUUUUUCUAAAAGGGUGGAAAAAACAAGUGCUGUCAAUUGAUUAAAAGAAAUAAUCGGAUUAAGCACACUUUCGUGUUAUGAUUAACCACAAUGCUAACCACUGCUCCAACGCUAACUACAGCGUUAGUUAGCGUUAAUGAAUACCAACACGUUCAUUUUUUCUACGCGCGUUAACGUCUUUACAUUGAUAGCCUUAAAAAAAACUAAAUUGUAAAGAAAAGAAGAUCAAAACAUCGUAAAAGUAAUUUCUAAGAAGUCAGCUGAUCAUUACUUGUCCUUGAUGUCACUUUUUGUUUGAAUCCUGAGCUCUUUUUCAGUGUUAUAAGGAACACUUUGCUUCCAGGUUGAAGCUCAGUGGAAAAGUUAGUUAUUUGAAUUAGGGGGUUUUGAAUUAUCUCAAGCACUUCUCUUUAAUAAUGCAUUCACAACGAACACGAUUCACGCAACAAAUUAGCGUGGCCCACCCCUCUUUUGCCGCACGUUGAAUUCACUACUCACUGAAAACGUCGUGUGCCCAAAGCUGAGCUCCUGAUUGGCAGAUGCGAUUCGGCAACCUGCCAAAAUGUAGAUAUUUGAACCCUGGCUGCACUGCUCCAGUUGUGGGGCGUCUCUGUCGCACAAAUCGCAUUUAGUGUGAACACAGCAUCACACCUACAUAAAAUGUCAAACUUAACAACAAACACGUAGUUCUAAACGGGUUUAAAAAGUGUUUUUCCUCCACAUUCUGAUUUUCUUGGUCUUGAUUGUUAUACUGAGGCAAAUAAUUGUGUAAUUUAUAAUUAAAAUAUAUAUUCUAAACACAAGCAAAGAUGUUUUGGGGGUUUUUUUGUUUGUUUUUUUUCUAUUUGACAGAUGUUAAUUCUUAGUGAUCGGCUUUGUUUUUUAUUGUCCCGCAGCAGUCCUGGACUACAAGGACCAGAUUUUUUCGUAAUACUUCCUUUAAACCUUUGUGCUCUCUUUAGGGUCCAGACGACCCCUCCCUUACAUUGAUCUGUGAUCCCUUCCAUGACAAAGGUGGACAGGAUUUUAUGUCUUCCAUAGACACCAGUGAAGAUAAAAAAUCCUUUAAAAAUAAAAAAGCUGAGCGCGUUUCUUGUGGGGUCCAGAUGACCCCACUUUUAAUGUAAAUAUACCAAGAAUAGCAAAAGGGUUACUCUGGUUCUCAAAGCAGAAUUAGAAUUACCAAAAUUAUGACUCAACUACAUACUCAAAAACUCACUUAAAAUGAAUUUAAGUAAAUAAAUAAACAAAUAAAUAAACAAUCAAGCAUUACAGCAAGCAAAACUGCUGAAAUGAAUGGAAUAGGGCCAAAAUCUCUAACAAAGCUAAAAAAAAGUUUAUUAUUAAUAUUCAUAAUAUUAUGAAGUAUUAUGGGAUGGCCACACAACUUAUGGUUUGGCAGCAGUUUUACACAUAUUCCCUCAAUGUGGGAAAGAGAAUUCAUGAAAUUUCACACAGGCGCCGCCAGGUUAAAUCUACAACCACCUCAGGAAGACGAUCUUGAAAAAAAUAAACAAAAA